AUGUCUUCUUCCUCCUCCACCACCAACUCUAGCCUCAACUACAACACCUCCAAACCACUUACCCGAACCAAUUACAUCUUAUGGCGCGCACAGGAAAGAUCACAGAUCAUGGGUGCCGACCUCUUUGGCUACCUAGAUCAAACCAUUGAAGAACCACAAAAAAAACCCUCACCACCAAGAACGCCGAAGGGAAGGAUCAGUUUGUCAAACCUAUCCAAAGAAGUGCUUGUCCAGGUUGCUUCGCUUGAGAAAUCACAUGCGAUAUGGACCGCGCUUGGGAACCUGUUCUCGGCCAUGUCUCUCUCGCGCGCCAACAACAUACGGGUCGCCCUCACCAACGCCCAGAAGGGCUCCCAGAUGGCGGCUUCAUAUUUUGGUCAUAUGUGGGCCCUCUUUGACGAGAUCGUGGCGGUGGGCAAGCCGAUCGGCGAGGAUGAACUUCUCUCCUUCAUCAUCGCCGGGUUGGACAUGGAGUACCAGCCCAUCAUAUUGGCGCUCGAUGCACGAAGACAACCGGUCUCCAUCGACAUCCUCUUCUCCAUGAUGUUCCAUGGUACAAACGCCAGAUCCUUCAAAUCAUCGGCGAACUCUGCAUCUCGUGGUCACCCGGGAAACACCAAAAACUACCAAAACCAGCGGAGUGGUGGAGGUGGUGGUGGCGGCCAGUACGGAGGCGGCGGCGGGCAGUACGGUGGUGGCGGUGGCUACCACAACGGCGGCAACAACUAUGGCGAUGACGAUGGCUACCACCCAAACAACAGUGGUGGCGGCGGCUACCACAGUGGUGGCGGUGGCGGCUAUCCCAGUGGGGGUGGCGGCUACUACCACCAGGGCAACUCUCGCGGUGGAAACAACAGGCCCCCCUGCCAACAACAAUUGGGGGCGCAAUUUCCAGGGCUACGAGGGGCAUCAUGGAAGAUCGCCGAACGGACGACCUGUCGCGUACGCCACCUGGGCCUCUCCACCGCAGCUUCGACUUCACAACAACAAACAGCCGAGGCAAUCUCACGGACACGCCGGAGAAGAGACGACUACCUCGACCAGUGCCAUGCCUUCGACCUUGCUCACCCCAUCAUCAUUGCCACUGAAGCCACCAUGCACAUCCAGGCUGCAAAGAUCCCUGACGACGCCUCCAAGGAGGAUAACGACGCCCACGCGCGCCGUCGCCGCCGGCCGACGAGCACCAGCCAGGCUUUCACCUGGAGCAACCAUUCCCACGCAGCCGACCAAAGGCCAACAGGUACCUCCACUGGAUCGCACACCCCCGAUGCAACGAGCACGCCAACGCUGCACCGGGCCACCACCAUCCUCUACGCCGAGCCUGCAGAAACCAUAUCGGGCCCUGCACCCCACGCAAACCACCACGGCCGGAGCCUCCCUGCUCCAGGCAUCCACCACGGCCGGAGCCUUCGCUCCAGGCAUCCACCACGGCCGGAUCCCCCCUGCUCCAGGAAGAGACGUCUGGGCACCACCAACCGCCGACAGCCAGCCCAUCGAUCGCAGAUCGGGAGCAGACCAGCCAGAUCCAGAUCCCCAGCUGGAGAUCACACGGCCGAAGCUGCGCCACCACCAGCGCGGACGCCCAGCGACCAGCCAAGCCUUCGCGUUGAGCCCACCACGGCGACCGCCGUUGCCUCGCUGAGCCGCCGCCACCAUCCGCGCCCGCGAACCGAACGCGGUCACCAUGCAGCACCGCGCGCCCUCGAUGCACCAGAUCUGCAAUCCAGCGCGCCUCCUACGCGCGCCUCGCUCACCCACAUCCUCGUGCGCAGCCUCGCCAGCCAGAAGGGUCGCCCCGGACGUGCGCUGCUGCCCGAGCAUCCGCCGAAGCAACCGGCCCGCGCCAGCCAGCCACGGACGGAGGAGGAGAAAGGCCCCGCCGCCGCCGAGCCGCACGGGCUUUGCCCGGCGACUGCCACCGGCGGCGGCGAGUGGUGGAAGAGACGGUGGGUGGGGUGCUCGCGGCGGCGGCUAGGGUUAGCUCCCGAGCCGCCCGCGGGAGCGACAGGGGAGCUCUAUCCUUCCUAUGACACUUGUUAA
rnacentral:rRNA from 1 species